CAGUGGCGGGCGUGCUUACACAUGCAAGUCGUACGAUGGAAGCCCUUAAGGGGUGGAUUAGUGGCGAACGGGUGAGUAACACGUGGGCAAUCUGCCCUUCACUCUGGGACAAGCCCUGGAAACGGGGUCUAAUACCGGAUACGAGCUUCCAAGGCAUCUUGGAGGUUGGAAAGCUCCGGCGGUGAAGGAUGAGCCCGCGGCCUAUCAGCUUGUUGGUGAGGUAAUGGCUCACCAAGGCGACGACGGGUAGCCGGCCUGAGAGGGCGACCGGCCACACUGGGACUGAGACACGGCCCAGACUCCUACGGGAGGCAGCAGUGGGGAAUAUUGCACAAUGGGCGAAAGCCUGAUGCAGCGACGCCGCGUGAGGGAUGACGGCCUUCGGGUUGUAAACCUCUUUCAGCAGGGAAGAAGCGAAAGUGACGGUACCUGCAGAAGAAGCGCCGGCUAACUACGUGCCAGCAGCCGCGGUAAUACGUAGGGCGCAAGCGUUGUCCGGAAUUAUUGGGCGUAAAGAGCUCGUAGGCGGCUUGUCACGUCGAUUGUGAAAGCCCGAGGCUUAACCUCGGGUCUGCAGUCGAUACGGGCUAGCUAGAGUGUGGUAGGGGAGAUCGGAAUUCCUGGUGUAGCGGUGAAAUGCGCAGAUAUCAGGAGGAACACCGGUGGCGAAGGCGGAUCUCUGGGCCAUUACUGACGCUGAGGAGCGAAAGCGUGGGGAGCGAACAGGAUUAGAUACCCUGGUAGUCCACGCCGUAACGGUGGGAACUAGGUGUUGGCGACAUUCCACGUCGUCGGUGCCGCAGCUAACGCAUUAAGUUCCCCGCCUGGGGAGUACGGCCGCAAGGCUAAAACUCAAAGGAAUUGACGGGGGCCCGCACAAGCGGCGGAGCAUGUGGCUUAAUUCGACGCAACGCGAAGAACCUUACCAAGGCUUGACAUACACCGGAAACGUCUGGAGACAGGCGCCCCCUUGUGGUCGGUGUACAGGUGGUGCAUGGCUGUCGUCAGCUCGUGUCGUGAGAUGUUGGGUUAAGUCCCGCAACGAGCGCAACCCUUGUUCUGUGUUGCCAGCAUGCCCUUCGGGGUGAUGGGGACUCACAGGAGACCGCCGGGGUCAACUCGGAGGAAGGUGGGGACGACGUCAAGUCAUCAUGCCCCUUAUGUCUUGGGCUGCACACGUGCUACAAUGGCCGGUACAAUGAGCUGCGAUACCGUGAGGUGGAGCGAAUCUCAAAAAGCCGGUCUCAGUUCGGAUUGGGGUCUGCAACUCGACCCCAUGAAGUCGGAGUCGCUAGUAAUCGCAGAUCAGCAUUGCUGCGGUGAAUACGUUCCCGGGCCUUGUACACACCGCCCGUCACGUCACGAAAGUCGGUAACACCCGAAGCCGGGAGCAGCUAUACAUCUUGUGCUACAGAGCGAUCGACAGUCGACCUAACUCU
rnacentral:rRNA from 1 species